GACGAACGCUGGCGGCGUGCUUAACACAUGCAAGUCGAACGGUGAAGCGCCUUCCUUUUUGGUGGGUGUGGAUGAGUGGCGAACGGGUGAGUAACACGUGAGUAACCUGCCCCCUUCUUCUGGAUAACCGCAUGAAAGUGUGGCUAAUACGGGAUAUUCUGGGUCUGUCGCAUGAUGGGUCUGGGAAAGAUAUUGUUUCGGUGGGGGAUGGGCUCGCGGCCUAUCAGCUUGUUGGUGGGGUGAUGGCCUACCAAGGCGGUGACGGGUAGCCGGCCUGGGAGGGUGGACGGUCACACGGGGAGUGAGACACGGCCCAGACGCCUACGGGAGGCAGCAGUGGGGAAUAUUGCACAAUGGGCGCAAGGCUGAUGCAGCGACGCCGCGUGAGGGAUGGAGGCCUGCGGGUUGUGAACCUCUUUCGCCAGUGAAGCAGGCCUGCCUCGUUUGUGGGUGGGUUGACGGUAGCUGGAGAAGAAGCGCCGGCUAACUACGUG
rnacentral:rRNA from 1 species